rnacentral:rRNA from 1 species
AUGCACGACCGCCACGUCGUCCACCGCGACAUCAAGCCGGCCAACAUCCUCAUCGGCCAAGACGGGGAACUCGUCAAAAUCUGCGACUUUGGGCUGGCGAUCUCCUUGUCCGAGCUGCCGCCCUACACCCAGGCCGGCACGGCGUUCUACUUGGCACCAGAGAUGCUCCUGGGGAAGGAAGACUACGACGCGCUCGUCGACACGUGGUCUCUUGGGUGCGUCAUGGCCGAGAUGCUCACAGGAAAGACGCUGUUCCUCGGCGAUGAUGAUGAUGACGAUGACGACGACACAAACAAUGAGAUCAUCCAACUCUGGAGCAUCUUCCGCUUGCUCGGGACGCCGGACAACAGGACGUGGCCGGAGUUCUCAUCUUUGCCGCACACCGCCAAGGCCCUACGACUCCUACCGCCGGGGCACAAGCAGAACAAGCUGCGGGAACUGUUCCCUCAAGAGAAGUUGUCCGACGAAGGAUUCCAGGUGUUGCAAGGCCUCCUCACCUGCAACCCCGACAAGCGACUGACGGCGGCCGGCGCGCUCAAGCACCGAUGGUUUGCUGCUCCUCGUCCCGCCACCGCCGCGGCAAAGGUCGGCGCAAUGUCGUUUCCGGUAAAGAAGGCACCAAGGAUCAAGUUCAUCCCGCCGGCCAUGCCACAGAAGAAUCUACUCAAAAUUCCCCUCGCUGUGUGGAACGCAGCAGAACAAGUGUAA